rnacentral:rRNA from 1 species
CCUACGGGUGGCAGCAGUGAGGAAUAUUGGUCAAUGGACGAGAGUCUGAACCAGCCAAGUAGCGUGAAGGAUGACUGCCCUAUGGGUUGUAAACUUCUUUUAUAUGGGAAUAAAAUGUUCCACGUGUGGGAUUUUGUAUGUACCAUAUGAAUAAGGAUCGGCUAACUCCGUGCCAGCAGCCGCGGUAAUACGGAGGAUCCGAGCGUUAUCCGGAUUUAUUGGGUUUAAAGGGUGCGUAGGUGGAUUGUUAAGUCAGUUGUGAAAGUUUGCGGCUCAACCGUAAAAUUGCAGUUGAAACUGGCAGUCUGGAGUACAGUAGAGGUGGGCGGAAUUCGGGGUGUAGCGGUGAAAUGCUUAGAUAUCACGAAGAACUCCGAUUGCGAAGGCAGCUCACUGGACUGCAACUGACACUGAGGCUCGAAAGUGUGGGUAUCAAACAGGAUUAGAUACCCCAGUAGUC